GGUAGUUUACUACUAGAAAUGACUGAGCGGCGAACGGGUGAGUAACGCGUGAGCAAUCUACCUUAGUUACUGGGAUAGCCCGAGGAAACUCGGAUUAAUACCGGAUAUUCUUAUUUUUUCACAUGAAGUUUUAAGGAAAGGUCAGCCGAACUAAGAUGAGCUCGCGUUCUAUCAGCUAGUUGGUGGGGUAAAAGCCUACCAAGGCUACGACGGAUAGCUGGUCUGAGAGGACGAUCAGCCACACUGGGACUGAGACACGGCCCAGACUCCUACGGGAGGCUGCAGCAGGGAAUAUUGUGCAAUGAGCGAAAGCUUGACACAGCGACACCGCGUGUGGGAUGACGGUUCUAGGAUCGUAAACCACUUUCAGGAGGGAAGAAAAUGACGGUACCUCCACAAGAAGACCCGGCCAACUAUGUGCCAGCAGCCGCGGUAAUACAUAGGGGUCAAGCGUUGUCCGGAUUUAUUGGGCGUAAAGAGCUCGUAGGCGGUUCAACAAGUCGGUCGUAAAAGUUUAGGGCUCAACCCCUAAAAUGUCGAUCGAUACUGUUGUGACUAGGAUACGGUAGAGGUGAAUGGAAUUCCGAGUGUAGCGGUGAAAUGCGUAGAAAUUCGGAGGAACACCAAUUGCGAAGGCAGUUCACCUGGACCGUGAUCGACGCUGAGGAGCGAAAGCUAGGGGAGCAAACAGGAUUAGAUACCCUGGUAGUCCUAGCUGUAAACGAUGGAUACUAGAUGUAAGAACUGGACUGACGGUUUCUGUAUCGUAGCUAACGCCGUUAAGUAUCCCGCCUGGGGAGUACGGUCGCAAGACUAAAACUCAAAGGAAUUGA
rnacentral:rRNA from 1 species